rnacentral:rRNA from 1 species
GACGAACGCUGGCGGCGUGCUUAACACAUGCAAGUCGAACGGAAAGGCCUCUUUAGGUGGGUGCUCGAGUGGCGAACGGGUGGGUGCCACGUGAGUAAUAUCCCCUUGACAUUGGGAUAAGUUCAGGAGAAUGGGGCUAAUACAGGAUAGGAGAUCCUGCUGCAUAGUGUGGGUUGGAAAGUUUCGGCGGUUGUGGGUGGGCUUGCGGCUUAUCAGCUUGUUGGUGUGGUAGUGGCAUACCAAGGCUUUGACGGGUAGCCGGCCCGAGAGGGUGACCGGCCACACUGGGACUGAGAGACGGCCCAGGCGCCGACUGUAGGGAGAAGGGGGGAAUACUGCACAAGCGGUGGAAGCCGGAUGCAGCAACGCCGCGGGCGGGAAGACGGCCUUCUGGUUGUAGACCGCGUGCUCUCAUAACUGAGCAUUGUGUGACGGUAGUGGGUAAAGAAGCACCGGCUAACUACGUG